GGCCAUAGCUCAGUGGUAGAGCAUCUGCCUUGCAAGCAGAAGGUCCCAGGUUCAAUCCCCACCAUCUCCA